AUCUAGAUACUAUACGUGCCAUCUACGUUUUCAAGCACAAGUUUAACUACUCACUACUCAACUUGUACGAUAUUGAGAAACUAAGGCCAAGUUGCAUAGUGUCAGUUUGGUUUCAUGCCCUAAAAGCGUGCAAGCUGCCACCGACAUGCAGGUGAGACUGCAGCUGCACUGGAUGCCUUUUCUGGGUAGCCCUUAAAUGAGGUUCACAUUAAAGUUUUGUUCCUUCAUAUGAAAAGCUGUUGGAGUUGUUACGAGAACCGCAGCUUUUAGAUUCACUGUUCGCUGGCUCCAAUACUUCAAAGCAUGUGCUUAGGUUUCGUUGCGCUUUCUUGGACCGAGUCUUUUUCACAUUUGAUUUGUUAGAAAUCGCUGAUCCAUCAAUGCGCUGGAUCCAUUCAACAUGAAAAUGUUAGUCCUUCUCCGAAUAACUCUAACCUGCAUCAGAAUUAAGACACACACUUGCAAUAACACAGUAUCUCCUCAGAUGUGGUCAAAUCAAGGACUAUAUGAGCUUCUUACAUACUACUGAAACUGUUCUUACAGUUUCAUACUUGGCCUAACACAAUCCCAUGUUAUGCACUAGUGUUUCAAACAUUCCAAAGGGCAAUCCUUUGGUAAAGGUAUUCCGCCAGGUACGGUAGGUAGCGAAGCACUGCUGAGCAAUCCGUCAAGUUUUCUUUUGAAGCAACUCCGUUUACAUUUAUCUCGUUCUUCUUAAUCAUGUCUCUUAUGCAGUGACUAUGAGCUUCGGUAUGAUUUGCACGAGUGUAGCAUCAAUUAUCUCUUAGUGAUAGUUAUAGCCAAAUUGUUGUCGCGAAAUAUAGUAAUUGGUCUUUUGAAAGCAAUUUACAAUCAGGAUUUCAGAAA